rnacentral:rRNA from 1 species
GAUGAACGCUGGCGGCGUGCCUAAUACAUGCAAGUCGAGCGAACAGACGAGGAGCUUGCUCCUCUGACGUUAGCGGCGGACGGGUGAGUAACACGUGGAUAACCUACCUAUAAGACUGGGAUAACUUCGGGAAACCGGAGCUAAUACCGGAUAACAUGUUGAACCGCAUGGUUCAACAGUGAAAGACGGUCUUGCUGUCACUUAUAGAUGGAUCCGCGCCGCAUUAGCUAGUUGGUAAGGUAACGGCUUACCAAGGCAACGAUGCGUAGCCGACCUGAGAGGGGGAUCGCCCACACCUGAACUAAGACAAGGUCCAGACUCCUACGGGAGGCAGCAGUAGGGAAUCUUCCGCAAUGGGCGAAAGCCUGACGGAGCAACGCCGCGUGAGUGAAGAAGGUCUUCGGAUCGUAAAACUCUGUUAUUAGGGAAGAACAAAUGUGUAAGUAACUAUGCACGUCUUGACGGUACCUAAUCAGAAAGCCACGGCUAACUACGUG